rnacentral:misc_RNA from 1 species
GAUGAAGACGUAGCGAAAUGCGAUACGUAAUGUGAAUUGCAGAAUUCAGUGAAUCAUCGAAUCUUUGAACGCAUAUUGCGCUCUUUGGUAUUCCGAAGAGCAUGCUUGUUUGAGUAUCAGUAAACACCUCAAAGCUUUUGGAUUUUUUAAUCGAAAAGCUUUGGACUUGAGCAAUCCCAACACCAAUCUUUUUGAGAUCGGUGGCGGGUUGCUUGAAAUGCAGGUGCAGCUGGACAUUCUCCUGAGCUAAAAGCAUAUUCAUUUAGUCCCGUCAAACGGAUUAUUACUUUUGCUGCAGCUAACAUAAAGGGAGUUUGACCGUAUUGGCUGACUGAUGCAGGAUUUCACAAGGGUCGGCAACGAUUCUUGUUAAACUCGAUCUCAAAUCAAGUAAGACUACCCGCUGAACUUAAGCAUAUCAAUAAGCGGAGGA